rnacentral:rRNA from 1 species
UCGAGAAUCUUCGGCAAUGGCGCAAGCCUGACCGAGCGACGCCGCGUGUGGGAUGAAGGCCUUCGGGUUGUAAACCGCUGUCGGAGGGGAGGAAAUCACUAGGGGUUCACCCCUGGUGUUGACCUAUCCUCAGAGGAAGGACGGGCUAAGUUCGUGCCAGCAGCCGCGGUAAGACGAACCGUCCAAACGUUAUUCGGAAUCACUGGGCUUAAAGGGUGCGUAGGCGGCCCUGAAAGUUGGGUGUGAAAUCCCUCAGCUCAACCGAGGAACUGCGCCCAAAACUACAGGGCUUGAGGAAGACAGAGGUGAGCGGAACUUGCGGUGGAGCGGUGAAAUGCGUUGAUAUCGCAAGGAACACCAGUGGCGAAAGCGGCUCACUGGGUCUUUUCUGACGCUGAGGCACGAAAGCUAGGGGAGCGAAGAGGAUUAGAUACCCUCGUAGUCCUAGCCGUAAACGAUGAGCACUAGAUCGGAGAGUCCUCCAUAGCUUUCCGGCGUAGCGAAAGUGUU